AUUGAACGCUGGCGGCAUGCCUUACACAUGCAAGUCGAACGGCAGCACGGGAGCAAUCCUGGUGGCGAGUGGCGAACGGGUGAGUAAUACAUCGGAACGUGCCCAGUAGUGGGGGAUAGCCCGGCGAAAGCCGGAUUAAUACCGCAUACGACCUACGGGUGAAAGCGGGGGAUCGCAAGACCUCGCGCUAUUGGAGCGGCCGAUGUCAGAUUAGCUAGUUGGUGGGGUAAAGGCCACCCAAGGCGACGAUCUGGAGCUGGUCUGAGAGGACGACCAGCCACACUGGGACUGAGGCACGGCCCAGACUCCUACGGGAGGCAGCAGUGGGGAAUUUUGGACAAUGGGGGCAACCCUGAUCCAGCCAUGCCGCGUGCGGGAAGAAGGCCUUCGGGUUGUAAACCGCUUUUGUCAGGGAAGAAACGCUCUGGGCUAAUACCCCGGAGUAAUGACGGUACCUGAAGAAUAAGCACCGGCUAACUACGUGCCAGCAGCCGCCGUAAUAC
rnacentral:rRNA from 1 species